UGCGGCUGGAACACCUCCUUUCUAGAGACAAAAAAAAGGAUGUGAUUUAAAAUUAAAAUUAAAUUAAAAUCUUACUCUCGCUGUUAAUUCAAAAAUAAAAAAAGGCUUAAAAUACAGAGUCUCGUAGCUCAGCUGGUUAGAGUACUACACUGAUAAUGUAGGGGUCGGCAGUUCGAGUCUGCCCGGGACUACUAUUUAAAGUUAUAAAAAAGGAAAUUCUAGAAGCGAAUUUUGAAUUAUAAAUUUUAAAUGAUGAAUUUGAAAAAUAAUUCAAAAAAAUGAUUCAACAUUCAAAAUAGACAAUGGGGGAUUAGCUCAGCUGGCUAGAGCGCCUGCCUUGCACGCAGGAGGUCAUCGGUUCGACUCCGAUAUUCUCCACCAAAGGCUUUAAGCUAUAUGCUUUAAGUCGUAAGCAAAAUGCCUAAGGCUUAUACCCUAAAGGUUAAAGCUUAAUAAAGUUCAUUGACAUAUUGAGAUAAACAUACAAACAAGUAGAAAGAAAAUAAAGCAAUACGCUGUAAGCAUAAAGCGUAAAGCAAAAAUAAAGAAAACAAUAAGCAAAAUAAGGGCGUAUGGGGAAUGCCUAG
rnacentral:tRNA from 1 species